rnacentral:rRNA from 1 species
UGGGGAAUAUUGGACAAUGGGCGAAAGCAUGAUCCAGCCAUGCCGCGUGAGUGAUGAAGGCCCUAGGGCUGUAAAGCUCUUUUGUGCGGGAAGAUAAUGACGGUACCGCAAGAAUAAGCCCCGGCUAACUUCGUGCCAGCAGCCGCGGUAAUACGAAGGGGGCUAGCGUUGCUCGGAAUCACUGGGCGUAAAGGGUGCGUAGGCGGGUUUCUAAGUCAGAGGUGAAAGCCUGAGCUCAACGCCAGAACUGCCUUUGAUACUGGAAGUCUUGAGUUCGGGGGAGGUGAGGGGAACUGCGAGUGUAGAGGUGAAAUUCGUAGAUAUUCGCAAGAACACCAGUGGCGAAGGCGGCUGACUGGCCCGAUACUGACGCUGAGGCACGAAAGCGUGGGGAGCAAACA